ACCUUUUGGAAGAAGUCGUCGAAGGUGGACUCGAUAACUGGGGUGAAGUCGUAACAAGGUAGCCGUAUCGGAAGGUGCGGCUGGAUCACCUCCUUUCUAAGGAGA
rnacentral:rRNA from 1 species